UACAGAGGUCCCAAGCGUUGUUCGGAUUCAUUGGGCGUAAAGGGUGCGUAGGUGGCGCCGUAAGUGGGGUGUGAAAUUUCGGAGCUUAACUCCGAAACUGCAUUCCAUACUGCGGUGCUUGAGGACUGGAGAGGAGACUGGAAUUCAUGGUGUAGCAGUGAAAUGCGUAGAGAUCAUGAGGAAGACCAGUGGCGAAGGCGGGUCUCUGGACAGUUCCUGACACUGAGGCACGAAGGCCAGGGGAGCAAACGGG
rnacentral:rRNA from 1 species